AGAGUUUGAUCCUGGCUCAGGAUGAACGCUAGCGGCAGGCCUAACACAUGCUAGUCGAGGGGCAGCACGAUUGAGCUUGCUUAAUUGGUGGCGACCGGCGCACGGGUGCGUAACGCGUAUGCAACCUACCUUAUACUGGGGUAUAGCCCGGAGAAAUUCGGAUUAAUCCCCCAUAGCAUUAUCGAUUCGCAUGUUUUGAUAAUUAAAGGUUACGGUAUAAGAUGGGCAUGCGUCCCAUUAGCUAGAUGGUGAGGUAACGGCUCACCAUGGCGACGAUGGGUAGGGGGCCUGAGAGGGUGGUCCCCCACACUGGUACUGAGACACGGACCAGACUCCUACGGGAGGCAGCAGUGAGGAAUAUUGGUCAAUGGGCGCAAGCCUGAACCAGCCAUGCCGCGUGCAGGAAGACGGUCCUAUGGAUUGUAAACUGCUUUUAUUCGGGAAUAAACCUCUUUACGUGUAGAGAGCUGAAGGUACCGAAUGAAUAAGCACCGGCUAACUCCGUGC
rnacentral:rRNA from 1 species